AGAAUCAACGCUGGCGGCGUGCCUCAGACAUGCAAGUCGAACGAUUAAACUUUCCUUCGGGAAAGAUAUAAAGUGGCGCACGGGUGAGUAACACGUAAGUAAUCUACCUUCGAGUGGGGAAUAACAGUCGGAAACGACUGCUAAUACCGCAUAAUGCAGCGGCAUCGCAAGAUGACAGUUGUAAAGGAUUUAUUCGCUUGAAGAGGAGCUUGCGGCAGAUUAGCUAGUUGGUAAGUAACGCUUACCAAGGCUACGAUCUGUAACCGGUCUAAGAGGACGGUCGGUCACACUGACACUGAAUAACGGGUCAGACUCCGUACGGGAGGCAGCAGUCGGGAAUUUUGGCAAUCGGGCAAAGCCUACGACCCAGCAACGCCGCGU
rnacentral:rRNA from 1 species